GGGGCCCGCACAAGCGGCGGAGCAUGUUGCUUAUUUUGACGCAACGCGAAGAACCUUACCAAGGUUUGACAUCACCCGUGGACUCGCAGAGAUGUGAGGUCAUUUAGUUGGCGGGUGACAGGUGGUGCAUGGCUGUCGUCAGCUCGUGUCGUGAGAUGUUGGGUUAAGUCCCGCAACGAGCGCAACCCUUGUUCCAUGUUGCCAGCACGUAAUGGUGGGGACUCAUGGGAGACUGCCGGGGUCAACUCGGAGGAAGGUGGGGAUGACGUCAAGUCAUCAUGCCCCUUAUGUCUUGGGCUGCAAACAUGCUACAAUGGCCGGUACAAUGGGCGUGCGAUACCGUAAGGUGGAGCGAAUCCCUAAAAGCCGGUCUCAGUUCGGAUUGGGGUCUGCAACUCGACCCCAUGAAGGUGGAGUCGCUAGUAAUCGCGGAUCAGCAACGCCGCGGUGAAUACGUUCCCGGGCGUUGUACACACCGCCCGUCACGUCAUGAAAGUCGGCAACACCCGAA
rnacentral:rRNA from 2 species